GCUCAGGAUGAACGCUGGCGGCGUGCCUAAUACAUGCAAGUCGAACGAGUUCUCGUUGAUGAUCGGUGCUUGCACCGAGAUUCAACAUGGAACGAGUGGCGGACGGGUGAGUAACACGUGGGUAACCUGCCCUUAAGUGGGGGAUAACAUUUGGAAACAGAUGCUAAUACCGCAUAGAUCCAAGAACCGCAUGGUUCUUGGCUGAAAGAUGGCGUAAGCUAUCGCUUUUGGAUGGACCCGCGGCGUAUUAGCUAGUUGGUGAGGUAAUGGCUCACCAAGGCGAUGAUACGUAGCCGAACUGAGAGGUUGAUCGGCCACAUUGGGACUGAGACACGGCCCAAACUCCUACGGGAGGCAGCAGUAGGGAAUCUUCCACAAUGGACGCAAGUCUGAUGGAGCAACGCCGCGUGAGUGAAGAAGGCUUUCGGGUCGUAAAACUCUGUUGUUGGAGAAGAAUGGUCGGCAGAGUAACUGUUGUCGGCGUGACGGUAUCCAACCAGAAAGCCACGGCUAACUACGUGCCAGCAGCCGCGGUAAUACGUAGGUGGCAAGCGUUAUCCGGAUUUAUUGGGCGUAAAGCGAGCGCAGGCGGUUUUUUAAGUCUGAUGUGAAAGCCCUCGGCUUAACCGAGGAAGCGCAUCGGAAACUGGGAAACUUGAGUGCAGAAGAGGACAGUGGAACUCCAUGUGUAGCGGUGAAAUGCGUAGAUAUAUGGAAGAACACCAGUGGCGAAGGCGGCUGUCUGGUCUGUAACUGACGCUGAGGCUCGAAAGCAUGGGUAGCGAACAGGAUUAGAUAC
rnacentral:rRNA from 1 species